rnacentral:rRNA from 1 species
AUUGAACGCUGGCGGAAUGCUUUACACAUGCAAGUCGAACGGCAGCACGGACUUCGGUCUGGUGGCGAGUGGCGAACGGGUGAGUAACAUAUCGGAACGUAUCCAAUAAUGGGGGAUAACGAGUCGAAAGAUUCGCUAAUACCACAUACGCCCUACGGGGGAAAGCUAGGGACCUUCGGGCCUGGCGUUAAUGGAGCGGCCGAUAUCUGAUUAGCUAGUUGGUGAGGUAAAGGCUCACCAAGGCGACGAUCAGUAGCUGGUCUGAGAGGACGACCAGCCACACUGGAACUGAGACACGGUCCAGACUCCUACGGGAGGCAGCAGUGGGGAAUUUUGGACAAUGGGGGCAACCCUGAUCCAGCCAUUCCGCGUGAGUGAAGAAGGCCUUCGGGUUGUAAAGCUCUUCCGCAAGGGAAGAAAACUUAGUCUCUAACAUAGACUGAGGCUGACGGUACCUUGAUAAGAAGCACCGGCUAACUACGUGCCAGCAGCCGCCGUAA